GACGAACGCUGGCGGCGUGCUUAACACAUGCAAGUCGAACGGAAAGGCCUGCUUUCCCUUGUGGAUUGCGGGUGCUCGAGUGGCGAACGGGUGAGUAACACGUGAGUGAUCUGCCCCCAACUUGGGUAUAAGCCUGGGAAACUGGGUCUAAUUCCCGAUAGGACUGCAGGGUGGUGCCUGUGGUGGAAAACGAUUUUCUAGUGGUUGGGGAUGAGCUCGCGGCCUAUCAGCUUGUUGGUGGGGUAAUGGCCUACCAAGGCGGCGACGGGUAGCCGGCCUGAGAGGGUGGACGGCCACAUUGGGACUGAGAUACGGCCCAGACUCCUACGGGAGGCAGCAGUGGGGAAUAUUACACAAUGGGCGGAAGCCUGAUGCAGCGACGCCGCGUGGGGGAUGACGGCCUUCGGGUUGUAAACUCCUUUCGACCGCGAGGAAGCCGCCUGGUUGGAAGGGUGGUGACGGUAGUGGUAGAAGAAGCACCGGCUAACUACGUG
rnacentral:rRNA from 1 species